rnacentral:rRNA from 1 species
GAUGAACGCUGGCGGCGUGCCUAAUACAUGCAAGUAGAGCGAAGAGACGAGGAGCUUGCUCCUCUUACGUUAGUGGCGGACGGGUGAGUAACACGUGGAUAACCUACCUAUAAGACGGGGAUAACUUCUGGAAACCGUAGCUAAUACCGCAUAAUAUAUUGAACCACAUGGUUCAUUAUUGAAAGACGGUUUUGCUGUCCCAUAUAGUUGAAUCCCGUCGGCUUUAGUUAGUUGGUAAGUAAAGGGCUUACCAAGGCAACGAUGCUUAGCCGACGUGAGAGGGUGAUCGGCCACACUGGACCUGAGACACGGUCCAAACUCCUACGGAAGGCAGAAGAAGGAAAUCUCCGGCAAUGGGGGAAAGCCUAACGGAGAAAGGCCGCGUGAGUGAUGAAGGUCUUCGGAUCGAAAGACUCUGUUAUUAGGGAGGACCAAAUGUGUAAGUAACUAUGCACGUCUUGACGGUACCUAAUCAGAAAGCCACGGCUAACUACGUG